rnacentral:rRNA from 1 species
AUUGAACGCUGGCGGCAUGCCUUACACAUGCAAGUCGAACGGCAGCAUAGGAGCUUGCUCCUGAUGGCGAGUGGCGAACGGGUGAGUAAUAUAUCGGAACGUGCCCUAGAGUGGGGGAUAACUAGUCGAAAGACUAGCUAAUACCGCAUACGAUCUACGGAUGAAAGUGGGGGAUCGCAAAACCUCAUGCUCCUGGAGCGGCCGAUAUCUGAUUAGCUAGUUGGUGGGGUAAAAGCUCACCAAGGCGACGAUCAGUAGCUGGUCUGAGAGGACGACCAGCCACACUGGGACUGAGACACGGCCCAGACUCCUACGGGAGGCAGCAGUGGGGAAUUUUGGACAAUGGGGGCAACCCUGAUCCAGCAAUGCCGCGUGAGUGAAGAAGGCCUUCGGGUUGUAAAGCUCUUUUGUCAGGGAAGAAACGGUUCUGGAAAAUACCUGGAGCUAAUGACGGUACCUGAAGAAUAAGCACCGGCUAACUACGUGCCAGCCGCCGCCGUAA